GUUAUCCUACGGGGCGCAGCAGUGGGGAAUAUUGCGCAAUGGGCGAAAGCCUGACGCAGCGACGCCGCGUGAGGGAUGAAGGUCUUCGGAUCGUAAACCUCUGUCAGCAGGGAAGAACGGUCACUGUGCUAAUCAGCAGUGAAUUGACGGUACCUGCAAAGGAAGCACCGGCUAACUCCGUGCCAGCAGCCGCGGUAAUACGGAGGGUGCGAGCGGUAAUCGGAAUUACUGGGCGUAAAGCGCUCGUAGGCGGUAUGUCCAGUCAAGGGUGAAAUCCCCGCGCUCACCGUGGGAACUGCAUUUGG
rnacentral:rRNA from 1 species